rnacentral:rRNA from 1 species
GACAAACGCUGGCGGCGUGCUUAACACAUGCAAGUCGAACGGAAAGGCCCUGCUUGCAGGGUACUCGAGUGGCGAACGGGUGAGUAACACGUGGGUGAUCUGCCCUGCACUUCGGGAUAAGCUUGGGAAACUGGGUCUAAUACCGGAUAGGAGCCAUCUUUAGUGUGGUGGUUGGAAAGUUUUUUCGGUGUAGGAUGAGCUCGCGGCCUAUCAGCUUGUUGGUGGGGUAAUGGCCUACCAAGGCGGCGACGGGUAGCCGGCCUGAGAGGGUGUACGGCCACAUUGGGACUGAGAUACGGCCCAGACUCCUACGGGAGGCAGCAGUGGGGAAUAUUGCACAAUGGGCGCAAGCCUGAUGCAGCGACGCCGCGUGGGGGAUGAAGGCCUUCGGGUUGUAAACUCCUUUCGCUAGGGACGAAGCUUUUUUGUGACGGUACCUAGAUAAGAAGCACCGGCUAACUACGUG